AAUUUUGGACAAUGGGGGAAACCCUGAUCCAGCCAUCCCGCGUGUAUGAUGAAGGCCUUCGGGUUGUAAAGUACUCUGGGCAGAGAAGAAAAGGUAUCUCCUAAUACGAGAUACUGCUGACGGUAUCUGCAGAGUAAGCAUCGGCUAACUACGUGCCAGCAGCCGCGGUAAAACGUAGGGUACAAGCGUUAAUCGGAAUUACUGGGCGUAAAACGUGUGUAGGCGGUUAGGAAAGAAAGAUGGGAAAACCCAGGGCUCAACCUUGGAACUGCAUUUUUAACUGCCGAGCUAGAGUAUGUCAGAGGGGGGUAGAAUUCCACGUGUAGCAGUGAAAUGCGUAGAUAUGUGGAGGAAUACCGAUGGCGAAAGCAGCCCCCUGGGAUAAUACUGACGCUCAGACACGAAAGCGUGGGGAGCAAACAG
rnacentral:rRNA from 1 species